rnacentral:misc_RNA from 1 species
GAUGAAGAACGCAGCGAAAUGCGAUAAGUAAUGUGAAUUGCAGAAUUCAGUGAAUCAUCGAAUCUUUGAACGCACAUUGCGCCCGCCAGUAUUCUGGCGGGCAUGCCUGUCUUAGCGUCAUUUCAACCCUCAUGCCCCUAGGGCGUGGUGUUGGGGAUCGGCCAAAGCCCGCGAGGGACGGCCGGCCCCUAAAUCUAGUGGCGGACCCGUCGUGGCCUCCUCUGCGAAGUAGUGAUAUUCCGCAUCGGAGAGCGAUGAGCCCCUGCCGUUAAACCCCCAACUUUCCAAGGUUGACCUCAGAUCAGGUAGGAAUACCCGCUGAACUUAAGCAUAUCAAUAAGCGGAGGA